rnacentral:rRNA from 1 species
AUUGAACGCUGGCGGCAGGCCUAACACAUGCAAGUCGAGCGGAGCGGCGGACGGGUGAGUAAUGCCUAGGAAUCUGCCUGGUAGUGGGGGAUAACGUCCGGAAACGGGCGCUAAUACCGCAUACUAUCAGAUUAGCCUAGGUCGGAUUAGCUAUUUGGUGGGGUAAAGGCCUACCACGGCCACGAUCCGUAACUGGUCGGAGAGGAUGAUCAGUCACACUGGAACUGAGACACGGUCCAGAGGCCUAGGGGAGGCAGAAGUGGGGAAUAUUGGACAAUGGGCGAAAGCCUGAUCCAGCCAGGCCGCGUGUGGAAAGAAGUUCUUCGGAUUGUAAAGCACUUUAAGUUGGGAGGCGUUACCAGCAGAAUAAGCACCGGCUAACUACGUGCCAGCAGCCGCGGUAAUAC